UACGAAGGGUGCAAACGUUGCUCGGAAUCAUUGGGCGUAAAGCGCACGUAGGCGGCUCCAAAAGUCGGAUGUGAAAUCCCUGGGCUCAACCGAGGAAGUGCAUCCGAAACUGCGGAGCUUGAGUAUGGAAGAGGGUCGCGGAAUUCCCGGUGUAGAGGUGAAAUGCGCAGAUAUCAGGAGGAACACCAAUGGCGAAGGCAGCUCGCUGGAACGGUACUGACGCUGAGGCGCGAAAGCGUGGGGAGCGAACAGG
rnacentral:rRNA from 1 species